GCGACGCGUGCUUUCUCGUAGCCUUGGGGACCAUCCGUCCGCCUCUGGCUGGUGGCCGUCCGGGCCCGUGGGGGUGUCGCGUGCCUUCCACUGCCACGGGCGCCAGCGUGCGGGGGCGGGAACGCCUCCGCGGGGCCCGAGACCUCAGGGACAGCUUGCACCCUGGAGGCCGAGGGAACUUGACCCCACGCGGGCUCCAGGGGUGUCCCUGGGAAAUGAGAAGUCGCCAGCUUCCGGCGAUCGGGGCAGGGAGGGCGCACGUGGUUAUUGUCCCCUGCUCCUCUUCGAUGACGUUCGAGUGACCUCGGUUUGGGGGGUCCAGGUACGCCAAGGCUUGGGGGCCACGGGUCUAAGGCGCACGGUCUGGCGAAAGGCUCCUGUGUUGCUGAACCUGCCCAGCGGCGGGUGCGGCCCGUACCAGGCAGCCCUGCCGUGACCUAGAGUAAGUGCCCGGGACAGUGUCUCCUGGGCUUUGAACUUGCAGUAACAGGUGUGAACAUGCUAGCAGCAGUUUGAUGAUCAUGUAUGAUACUGCAAACAAGACCGAGCUCAGAGAUCGGAAAACUGCCGGGGUUUCUGAAUCCCGUGAAUGGUGUGGACGUAAUAAAUACUUACUGGUGCUUGGCUGGGGUGGGGGAGGGGGAGCACAAGCCUACGUGUUAAGGAUACGGAAAAAACGCAGCAGCGUGGUCCUUGUUCUCUCCCAGCUACCGCCCAGUGGGAGAGACGAGGUCAUGUGAUCGCAGGACGGAGGGUGAGGGGAGCACAGGUUUCUAUGAGAGCGCGUGUCACGGUAGCCUGAUGGACACUGGGAUGCAUUCCUGAGGCUGGGGCCCUGAGCUGGACCCGGAGGGGUGGGUGGGAGUUGGGUGGGAAGGCCCCGGGCAGCAUGUCCAGACGCCCAUGGCCCAGCAGGUGUGGCGGGCAGAGGUCCGGACAGGAGGCUGCCGCAGCCGAGACAGCACGGCGAGAACCGUGUGGGACGGAGCUCAAAGGGUGGGAGUGGGCCGGGCCACAGGGGGUCUUUGCUAAGCAUGUGGGAAGUGGUCAAGGGUUUUAAACCAGAGGGUGGUGUGCGGAAACCCGCCAUUUCUAAAGAGCGCCCUCUGCAGAAGGACGCCGCCUGACUUCCGCAGCGAUGGAGGCGCUCUGCGUCUGCGCAGUCCGGCCGAGCGGCCGCAGUCCCGGGGCUCGUGAGCACUUGCAGGGCGGCUGGUGCGACUGCGGAGCUGGCUUUUCAAAGGUCAGCCUGCUCCGGGGGGAGCGGCACUCUCCCUCCUCCCUGCUCUGCCUGCGUUGUCGUCGGCGCACGGGUUGAGGGGUCACGUCUUCAGCAUAUCCAAGCACCGUGGGGCGGAGCGCCACACCUGUCCCUCGGAGGGUGUGAAGAGCAGCGGUCCCUGGCAGUGAGAGACUUGGACUGAGAGAGGUGGGUCCAUGGCAUUGGGUGUUGGGGGCGUCGGGAAGAAACAUGUUUGGGGGACCCUUCAGGCUGGGGCCCUGGAAUGGCUGUUUCCAGCUGAUGACACACGAGACAAGAGGAGAGGCCGUGGGGAGCUCAGGGCCUGGGGGCGCGGUGGGGAGCCCAAGGCUGGGGGAGGGGAAGAGAGGUGCAGGAAGGAGUGGGCCGGCGUCGGGUAACAGGCCUCGUGGGACCCUGGGUGUGUUGUGGGUUUGGUGCAGGUGGGUGUCUGAGGGAGACUGGGGGGUGGGGUGCACGUGCCGGCCUUGGGGCUUCGGAUGCCCCUGAGUAACUUUCAGUAGGAGGGGACCAGCCCUCCGGGUUGGGGACCCCUAAAGAUGGGGAAAGAGGAGGGGCUGAUCAGAGGAGGGUCCCUUCAGGGCACCUUCCACACUGUAUUCUGGGGGAGGUAGAUUCUAGGUUUCCGAGGGUGCUCUGUGGCACCCCCGCUGAGAACUCUCUGGAGGUUCAGGUUUGCUUGUGCAGGAUCAGGCUGACGGAUACACUUUCUUCGCAGGGUUCGCCGGACGGCCCGUGCGUGGCCACGGGCAGGUCUGCCCAUGUCCUCUCUGCCUGGUCCUCCGAGCCUGGAAGGUGGCCACUCCGCUUCGGGGCCUUCCUUCCGGGUCAGCUCGGGUUCCCCGUGAACCGCACCGUUGUUGGACGCUGACCUGCGUGCGACCCUGUUUGUGUGGCUGUAAAUAAACGGAGUCGGACUCCAGCAAGACUCUGCAC